AUUUUAGCAUCAAAGAAUUUAAACAAGUUCCCGCCCGCCGCGCCUGAAAAGAUUUUGUACCGCUAUCGGUACCUAUCGGUGACACUUGGACUUACUAGUUCCUUGUCCUUUUAAGUCCAAUUGCAUGGCCGUAAAGUUUGGCACUUCGUGUUUGGGCAAAACGGGUGUCAACAUGAAUCUGAUGACUAAAGGAUGGCUCGUGAAAUAUUCCAAGAAUUCGCGAAGAAUGUGCAACACUUUGUAUGCCAAUUAACAUGAAAAUAAUAUUCGGUAACAUUUCUGUAAUUUUAUUCACUACGUUAGCCGAUAAAUAUUUAAACUAUAAAUACGGAAUAUUGUUGAUAUAAUCAUGUAGGUAUGUGAUAAAUGGAUUGGCCUAGAUUAUAACUAUGAGCAAAUUUUA